rnacentral:lncRNA from 12 species
UGUGGGGACACUUUGGGGACAUGUGGGGACACUUUGGGGACAUGUGGGGACACUUUGGGGACAUGUGGGGACACUUUGGGGACAUGUGGGGACACUUUGGGGACAUGUGGGGACACUUUGGGGACAUGUGGGGACACUUUGGGGACAUGUGGGGACACUUUGGGGACGUAUCUGAGCGGGGACAGGGACAUUGGGGACACUUUGGGGACAUGUGGGGACACUUUGGGGACAUGUGGGGACACUUUGGGGACAUGUGGGGACAGGGCUGUCACUCACUGCUCGCUCGCCAGGAUCAUCUUGGCCAACAUGGGCUCCACCGGCAGCUCGGCCAUGCGCCGGCCCAGCUGGGACGGGGACGGGGACAGGGACAGGGGGACACCGGUGACACCAGUGACACCACUGACACCAGUGACACCAGUGACACCAGUGACCAGUGACACCGGUGACCAGUGACACCAGCGACACCAGUGACACCAGCGACACCAGUGAUGACCAGUGACACCGGUGACACCAGUGACACCAGUGACACCAGUGACACUCCCAGUCAAUCCAUCCCAGGUGGUUCAUAUCCCACUCCCAGUCCCUCCCAGUCCCUCCCAGUACCGUGGUCAGCUCCCCCAGGAGGCUCACACCCUAUUCCCAGUCCCCACCAGUCCCUUCCAGAACCUCCCAGUUCAUCCCAGUCCCUCCCAGGUGGUUCACACCCCACUCCCAGUCCCCCCCAGUCCCCCCCAGCCCGUCCCAGUCCCUCGCAGGUGGUUCACACCCCACUCCCAGUCCCUCCCAGCCCAUCCCAGUCUAUCCCAGGUGGUUCACACCCCACUCCCAGUCCCUCCCAGCCCGUCCUAGUCCCUCCCAGGUGGCUCACACGCCCCUCCCAGUCCCUCCCAGUCCGUCCCAGUACCGUGGUCAGCUCCCCCAGGUGGUUCAGCGCCCCCAGGGCGUACAGCUGCUCCAGCGCCAGCACCAGCGUCUCGUGGGGGGGCGGGUCCAGGAAAUCGAAGUGGAUCAGGUCGUUGACCCCUGGGGACACCCCGAUGUCACCAAUGUCCCCAGGGUGCCACCUCAGUGUCCCCAGGGUGUCCCCAGGGUGCCACCUCAGUGUCCCCAGGGUGUCCCCAGGGUGCCACCUCAGUGUCCCCAGGGUGUCCCCAGGGUGCCACCUCAGUGUCCCCAGGGUGUCCCCAGGGUGCCACCUCAGUGUCCCCAGGGUGUCCCCAGGGUGCCACCUGGUUUCUAAGUCAGAGUGUUAAUGGUGUCUAGACACCUAAUACUAUUGAAGUAACUGACCCCCCAGGUUGUGGCAAGCUCCCCCCCUCAACAGCCCUGAGGGUCCUGAAAAUGUCACCUGAGGGCCACCAGCGGUGCCCAGAAUGUCCCUUGAGAUGCUCCCCAGUUCAUCCCAGUUGAUCCCAGUGCCUCCCAGUCCAUCCCAGUCCCCUCUCAGUGCCCACCCAGUCCCUCCCAGUGCUCACCCAGGCUCUUGAGCAGCAGCAGUUACUGGUCCCAGUUUGGGGCUCACUGGGCGUUACUGGUCCCAGUUUAAGGCUCACUGGGUGUUACUGGUCCCAGUUUGGGUCCAGUUCAGAUCCGGGUCCCAGUUUGCCGUCCCAGUACUCCCAGUGCCCCCAGUUUGUCCCUCCCAGUUCUCCCAGUAUUCCCAGUUUGCCGUUUCAGUCCAUCCCAGCGCUCCCAGUUUGUCCCUCCCAGUGCUCCCAGUGCUCCCAGUUUGCGCUCCCAGUGCUCCCACUCCCCUUUCAGUCCCUCUCAGUCCCUCC